UACGUAGGGUGCAAACGUUGUUCGGAAUUACUGGGCGUAAAGCGUGUGUAGGCGGCUACAUAAGUCGGAUGUGAAAGCCCCGGGCUCAACCCGGGAAGUGCACUCGAUACUGCGUAGCUUGAGUCUCGGAGAGGUUGGUGGAAUUCUCGGUGUAGAGGUGAAAUUCGUAGAUAUCGAGAGGAACACCGGUGGCGAAGGCGGCCAA
rnacentral:rRNA from 1 species